rnacentral:lncRNA from 1 species
GAUAUCAAUGCAAAUGAAUAGUGUGCAGACCACAGAGUUCCCAGAAGAGCUGAGGGACCAGGCUCUGGUGUGGUUUAAUGGUAUCCCAAACAAUGAUCAGGACCGUUUCUGCCAGCUGACUCAGGCGUUGGUCUCAUCUCAGCCACCAGUACUUCUAGUAGCGAUACUCUGUCUAGCUUCUCCUCUUCUUAGCAUUGCACACUGGACGGAUGUGUCUGGGAAGCAGGGAAUAUUAACAGGAAGUUUUCAGCUUCUACGUAAAGUAAAAAGAAGCUUGCAUCACACCAAGACUAAGAGACUGCAGGGUUUCUCCCAAAUGUCAGAAGAAUUACUACUGUUGAACAGUGAAGAGAAAUAAAGACCAUCUGCCCUAGCACACGGGAGGACUCAGUGUCUGUAAGGGACCUUGGUUCAGAUAGGACACAUGUCUUCCCUGUGCCAGACUUUUUGCACAAUCUCCAGAUCUGGGGAGGAGGGGCUUAUUUUAUUAUACCUGGGAUAUUUUUAAGUGAAAAAAGAAAA